CCUAAGGGGAGGCUGGCAGCCUGAGACAUCUUCGGAUGGACCCUUUGAACCUGAUCCGGAUAGUACCGGCGUAGGGAUAGGACG
rnacentral:ncRNA from 1 species